rnacentral:sRNA from 1 species
GCCGGGCGUUGUGGCGGGCGCCUGUGGUCCCAGCUACUUGGGAGGCUAAGGCAGGAGACUCGCUUGAGCCCAGUAGUGGGAGGUUGCUGUGAGCUGAGAUGCUACGGCACUCUACCCAGGGGGACAGCUUGAGGCUCUGUCUCAAAAAAAAAAAAAAGAUUCAAACUACCCAUUCUACACCUCGGUAAAGUGCGGUGACAUCACAGCUCACAGCAACUGCUCAAAAUCUUGGGCUUAAGUGAUUCUCUUGCC